rnacentral:rRNA from 1 species
UACGUAGGGGGCAAGCGUUGUCCGGAUUUAUUGGGCUUAAAGGGUGCGUAGGCGGCUUUGUAAGUCAGUGGUGAAAUAUGGCAGCUCAACUGUCAGGGUGCCAUUGAUACUGCAGAGCUUGAGUACAGAUGAGGUAGGCGGAAUUGACGGUGUAGCGGUGAAAUGCUUAGAUAUCGUCAAGAACACCGAUAGCGAAGGCAGCUUACUGGGCUGUAACUGACGCUGAGGCACGAAAGUGUGGGGAUCAAACAGG